rnacentral:rRNA from 1 species
GACGAACGCUGGCGGCGCGCCUAACACAUGCAAGUCGAGCGAUGAAACUGUAACAGAACCCUUCUGGGCGUAGAGAGAGGGGAUUAGCGGCGGACGAGUGAGUAACACGUGAUUAACCGGCCUUAGACAUUGGGAUAGUUACGGGAAACCGGCAUUAGUACUAAAUAAAAUCAUAAUGACACAUGGGAUAUCGAGCAAAACUCUGGUGGUCUAGGAUGUAGGCGCGUCGCAUUAGCUAGUGGGUAGAGUAAAAGCCUACCAAGGCGAGGAUGGGUAGCCGGCCUGAGAGGGUGAACGGCCACAUUGGAACUGAGAAGCGGUCCGAACUCAUGCGGGAGGAAGGAGUGGGGGAUAUAGCAACAUGGAGGGAGCUCUGAAGCAGCGACGCCGCGUGAACGAAGCAGGCUUUGGAGAAGUAAAGUUAUUUUAUAUGGGAAGGUAAUGACGGUACCAUAAGAAAAAGCCCCGGCUAACUACGUG